GAUGUACGCUGGCGGCGUGCCUAAUACAUGCAAGUCGAGCGAAUGGAUUAAGAGCUUGCUCUUAUGAAGUUAGCGGCGGACGGGUGAGUAACACGUGGGUAACCUGCCCAUAAGACUGGGAUAACUCCGGGAAACCGGGGCUAAUACCGGAUAACAUUUUGAACCGCAUGGUUCGAAAUUGAAAGGCGGCUUCGGCUGUCACUUAUGGAUGGACCCGCGUCGCAUUAGCUAGUUGGUGAGGUAACGGCUCACCAAGGCAACGAUGCGUAGCCGACCUGAGAGGGUGAUCGGCCACACUGGGACUGAGACACGGCCCAGACCCCUACGGGAGGCAGCAGUAGGGAAUCUUCCGCAAUGGACGAAAGUCUGACGGAGCAACGCCGCGUGAGUGAUGAAGGCUUUCGGGUCGUAAAACUCUGUUGUUAGGGAGGAACAAGUGCUAGUUGAAUAAGCUGGCACCUUGACGGUACCUAACCAGAAAGCCACGGCUAACUACGUGCCAGCAGCCGCCGUAA
rnacentral:rRNA from 1 species